rnacentral:rRNA from 1 species
AUGGCUCAGAGUGAACGCUGGCGGCAGGCCUAACACAUGCAAGUCGAGCGGCAGCGCGGGGGCAACCCUGGCGGCGAGCGGCGGACGGGUGAGGAAUACAUCGGAAUCUGCCUUGUUGUGGGGGAUAACGUAGGGAAACUUACGUUAAUACCGCAUGAGACCGUAAGGUGAAAGUGGGGGAUCGCAAGACCUCACGCGACAAGAUGAGCCGAUGUCGGAUUAGCUAGUUGGUGAGGUAAAGGCUCACCAAGGCAACGAUCCGUAGCUGGUCUGAGAGGAUGAUCAGCCACACUGGGACUGAGACACGGCCCAGACUCCUACGGGAGGCAGCAGUGGGGAAUAUUGGACAAUGGGCGCAAGCCUGAUCCAGCCAUGCCGCGUGUGUGAAGAAGGCCUUCGGGUUGUAAAGCACUUUUGUUGGGAAAGAAAUCCUGUCGAUUAAUACUCGGCGGGGAUGACGGUACCCAAAGAAUAAGCACCGGCUAACUUCGUG